rnacentral:misc_RNA from 1 species
GAACGCACCUUGCGCCCCUUGGCUAUUCCGAGGGGCAUGCCUGUUCGAGCGUCAUUUCAACCCUCAAGCUCUGCUUGGUGUUGGGCCCCGCCCGCUCGCGGCCGGCCCUAAAGACAGUGGCGGCAGCGCCUGGCUCCAAGCGUAGUACAGCUCUCGCUCUGGGGCUAGGCGGUAGCCUGCCAGAACCCCCCUUCUAUGGUUGACCUCGGAUCAGGUAGGGAUACCCGCUGAACUUAAG